ACGGCCGCGGUAUCUUGACCGUGCUAAGGUAGCGAAAUCACUUGUCCUUUAAAUGAGGACCUGUAUGAAUGGUGGAACGAGGGCUUAACUGUCUCCUUUUUCAAGUCAGUGAAAUUGAUCUGCCCGUGCAGAAGCGGACAUAAACAUACAAGACGAGAAGACCCUUUGGAGCUUAAGACAUACAGUCAACUGUGUCAAACAUUUUACUUAAGAAACUUAAACAAAACAACAACUGACCCUACGUCUUCGGUUGGGGCGACCGCGGGGGAAAACAAAGCCCCCACGUAGAAUGGGACAUUCCCUAAAACUAAGAGAGACAUCUCUAAGUCACAGAACCUCUGACUAAAAGAUCCGGCACACGCCGAUCAACGAACCAAGUUACCCUAGGGAUAACAGCGCAAUCCCCUCCAAGAGCCCGUAUCAACAAGGGGGUUUACGACCUCGAUGUUGGAUCAGGACAUC
rnacentral:rRNA from 1 species